rnacentral:tRNA from 1 species
GCGGGUUUGGCGGAAUUGGCAGACGCACCAGAUUUAGGAUCCUGUGACCGCUUUAGGUCGUGUGGGUUCAAGUCCCACUCUCCGCA